rnacentral:rRNA from 1 species
CGCGUAGGCGGCUUGGUCAGUCCCGUGUGAAAUCCCUCGGCUCAACUGAGGAACUGCACGGGAAACUGCCUGGCUUGAGUUCGGGAGAGGGAAGCGGAAUUCCGGGUGUAGCGGUGAAAUGCGUAGAUAUCCGGAGGAACACCGGUGGCGAAGGCGGCUUCCUGGACCGACACUGACGCUGAGGCGCGAAAGCUAGGGGAAGCAAACG